AAAACCGGUGCACGGCGCACGCUUCCUCCUCCAUCACCUUCCGUGUGAAAAUAUCUGCUGCUCUCUCUCCUUCCACUUCAUCCCUCUGCGCCGCCUCCUCUCCUCCCGAUUCGCAUCCUCCCCCAAUCCCCGCCUCCUCUCCUCCUCCCCAAUCCGACGCCUCUCGCCGCCCUCUCUCCUUCCCCUACGCCUUCGACCCCACCCUCGCCAGCUCCCAAGGAUCCGCCGAGUGGGGAACCAAGAAGGAGGAGGGACGUGAAGGGGAGAAGAGGGGGUGCGGCACAUGAGACCUAGGCGGCGGCUCGAGCAGAGGAGCGGGCCUCGAGACGCCGCGUCCGCCACUCCCCCGCCUCGAACCAGCCGCUGCCAUGGAGAAGGACGGACAGUAGCGGAGGCCGACGGUGGAGGGAGGAGCGGCGAGGACAGAGGCGCCGGCUGUCGGGGACCUCCCAGCCUUCUUCUUCUCCUCGUCAGGUGGAGCUCGAGCCGUCGAGCACGACCUCGAUCUGGAGUAGGGUAGCAGCAGCCGCAGGGGGCUCCAACCUUGUCUCCGCGGGAGGGGGCAGGCGCAACUCCUCCUCUCCACUCCCCACGCGACAGCGGCCCCAACCCCCACACCAACCCCACCUCCUCUAGCCCCUCUGCAAUGAAGUGUUUCGGUGCUUGGUUUAUUGGUGGGUGGUGAGAAGAAGAGAGGUGGAAGCAGGACCGCGAGGCCGGAGCUCCAGGCGUCGCUCGCGCUUAGGUGGAGUGGAGAGGUGUCGCGGGCCAUGACUGAUGGGUCGUUGCUCACUGGUCGUCGUCCCCUGUCCACCAUCCAGGUUGCACGUCCUCAUCAUAAUCUGAUUUUGAUUCCUUGAUUUUUCUGAUAAAGAGAGGAAGAAUUGGGGAUACAGGUCUUAGGCCUUAGAUUCUUUGCCUCCAGCAGAAGAAACGAUUCAUGUGUGCCUCCCUUUUUGUUAUAUCUUACAUAAUUUCUAAUCUGGGCAAAUAUCACAUAAUCGGCUUGGCAGCUAAUAUUCAAAAUUGUUAGUGUUGUCGGUACAUUGAGGUUUAUCUUAUUUUGGUAAAGGUUUUUCUAUCAAGAACUACAUAUGCUCGACAUGGUGUCAUGGUAUCUAUAGUUGUUGUGGAGCCUGCUGGUAUUCUUACCCUUCAUCGCCUCUUUCCCUUCUCUGUAUGAGCCCUUUCCUGAUUUGUUUUUGUUCGCGAUCUGCUCUGCUUGUUUUGACUCUUUUUAGUUGAUGCAUUAUUCUAUCUAUUUUUGUGUACUCGGGUGCCUAUGCGAGAAACAUUGGAAGAAUCCAUGUAUUUAGCCAUGGCAUGUUUGGCAGCUACAGCAGCUUCUGCAGCUUUCUUCCCCCGUCAUUCCUCAUAUAUGUGGGCAAUUCAAUGUUGUUACCAGUGGGAGUCCAUAGUGCGCGUGUGUCUGGUCCAGUAUGUUGUUCCAUAGGAUAAGAAAAAAGUUUGUCAAGAAUGGAUCUCUAAAUGUGUUUCGCCUUGAGGUAAAUAAUUUGCAUGUUGUCUACUUUUCGUUAAUUUGGGUCAGGCCAAAAUAAGGUGUAGGCAAAUUUCAGAUUUUUUAUCUGUACUGCAUUUUCACAAAUUAAAACAGUGACCUUGACAUUACCAGUCUAUGGGGGAGUCAUGGAGAAGCCAAGCUUAAAUGAGAUUUCAAAAUUUUGUGGCCUUUGUUAACAUUUAAAAACCUGAUGCUUCUACUUGUGAAAGAACAGGUAGAGAUAAGGCCCAUCAGUUCAGGUAGAGAUAAUGAAAGAACAGAAGAAGGACUGAGCAAGAGGAGGAACUUCGUCGACCCAGCCGUGAGCAAAUGAUGCUCUGGCGAGUCGAUGAUGACCGUCAUGGAGAUCUGCCUGCGGGGCCUGACCAAGGAACCAACGCUGAAGCCGUUAGACGAGGACGUGCUCUGGAACCUGCAGUUUGCAGCCCUGGUGUAGGAUGACUGGAACAGCGAGGAGUCCCCGCUCUCAUAGUCGCAGAUCCGUGCACAAUCCGCAGAGGACUAACCUCUAGGAAGGCUGAGAAAAAAUAUUGGCAAGCAUUACCAUUAUGAUCCUCCAUCGAUCAUCAUUGUUGAAGGAAUUUCUGUUUCUCUUCAUAUAGGAUACAGAUAUGUGAUUCUCAUGUGAUCCUUUUGCUGGAAACUUGCUAAUCUUAGGGGUGUUGCUACUGGUGUAGAAACCGUUUUAUCAAAAGAACUAAAGUAGUAGCUAAUCCAAGCAUUGAAGAAUUGACCCAGAGGUUACGCUAUACUGGAACGAAGUCAGAGCAGCGCCUAAAUACUACACAAGAUAGUUUCUGAUAACCUUCAGUCUAUAUGUCCUAACCAACAGCAUCCACCUUUUGUUUUAUCAAUCGAUCCAGUAUCUUUGCCCUUUUGGCAUUGCUCUGAGCAAGAUAUGUAUAGCCUUUAGAUUUCCAUUCAUGUAUGAUACUGCAUGUACACUUUAGACCUCAUUACUGUCUCUGUGGUCAAAAGAAGUUUGUGAUCAAUUGUUCUAUAUAUGUAAUCAACUGCCCUUCUACUAAUAUUUUCAGAAGACUAUUUAUAUAUGUUUACACUGGUUAGAGAAAA